GCCCCCAUCGUCUAGCGGUUAGGACGCCGGGUUCUCAACCCGGCAACAGGGGUUCGAUUCCCCUUGGGGGUA
rnacentral:tRNA from 1 species